rnacentral:rRNA from 1 species
UACGUAGGGUGCGAGCGUUAAUCGGAAUUAUUGGGCGUAAAGAGCUCGUAGGCGGUUCGUCGCGUCGGCUGUGAAAACCCGGAGCUCAACUCCGGGCCUGCAGUCGAUACGGGCGGACUUGAGUGUUGCAGGGGAGACUGGAAUUCCUGGUGUAGCGGUGAAAUGCGCAGAUAUCAGGAGGAACACCGGUGGCGAAGGCGGGUCUCUGGGCAACUACUGACGCUGAGGAGCGAAAGCGUGGGGAGCGAACAGG